rnacentral:rRNA from 1 species
UACGGGGGGAGCAAGCGUUGUUCGGAUUUACUGGGCGUAAAGGGCGCGUAGGCGGCCAGCACACGUCAGUUGUGAAAUCUCCGAGCUUAACUCGGAAAGGUCAACUGAUACUGUGCGGCUAGAGUGCGGAAGGGGCAACUGGAAUUCUUGGUGUAGCGGUGAAAUGCGUAGAUAUCAAGAGGAACACCUGCGGCGAAGGCGGUUUGCUGGGCCGACACUGACGCUGAGGCGCGAAAGCCAGGGGAGCGAACGGG